CCAUCGACCGGUCCUGAAGUCUCCGAAGGAUCUGAGUAGGAGCAUAGCUGUUGGGACCCGAGAUGGUGACUAUGCCUGAAUAGGGUGAAGCCAGAGGACUCUGGUGGAGGCUCCAGCGACGUGCAAAUCGAUCGUCAAAUUGGGUAUAGGGGCGAAAGACUAAUCGAACAUCUAGUAGCUGGUUCUGCGAAGUUCCUCAGGAUAGCAGUAACGAUCUCAGUUUAUGAGGUAAAGCGAAUGAUUAGAGGCCUUGGGGUUGCAACAACCUUAACCUAUUCUCAAACUUUAAAUAUGUAAGAAGUCC
rnacentral:rRNA from 1 species